UACGGGGGGGGGCAAGCGUUGUUCGGAAUUACUGGGCGUAAGGGCUCGUAGGCGGCCAACUAAGUCGGACGUGAAAUCCCCAGGCUCAACCUGGGAACUGCGUCCGAUACUGGAUGGCUUGAAUCCGGGAGAGGGAUGCAGAAUUCCAGGUGUAGCGGUGAAAUGCGUAGAUAUCUGGAGGAAUACCGGUGGCGAAGGCGGCAUCCUGGACCGGCAUUGACGCUGAGGAGCGAAAGCCAGGGGAGCAAACGGG
rnacentral:rRNA from 1 species